rnacentral:rRNA from 1 species
CAGCGAAGCCGCGAGGUGGAGGCAAAUCCCACGAAAACUAGAUCUCAGUUCGGAUUGCAGGCUGCAACCCGCCUGCAUGAAGUCGGAAUCGCUAGUAAUCGCGGGUCAGCAUACCGCGGUGAAUACGUUCCCGGGCCUUGUACACACCGCCCGUCACACCACGAAAGUUGGUAACACCCGAAGCCGGUGGCCUAACCCUUAGGGGAGGGAGCUGUCGAAGGUGGGACUGAUGAUUGGGGUGAAGUCGUAACAAGGUACC